rnacentral:rRNA from 1 species
GACAGAGGGGGCAAGCGUUGCUCGGAAUUACUGGGCGUAAAGGGCGCGUAGGCGGGAUGGCAAGUCGGUCGUGAAAUCCCUCGGCUCAACUGAGGAUCGUCGAUCGAUACUGCCGUUCUUGAGGAUUGCAGAGGAGACUGGAAUUCCCGGUGUAGCGGCGAAAUGUGUAGAGAUCGGGAGGAACACCGGUGGCGAAGGCGGGUCUCUGGGCAAUUCCUGACGCUGAGGCGCGAAAGCGUGGGGAGCAAACGGG